rnacentral:snoRNA from 1 species
AGCUUGUCAAUGAUGUUUCAUAUUAAAAAUGUCUGAACAUAUGAACCUCAGAGUGAUUUCAGUGCGUUACUGAGACGAGCU